rnacentral:misc_RNA from 1 species
GAUGAAGAACGUAGUGAAAUGCGAUACGUAAUGUGAAUUGCAGAAUUCAGUGAAUCAUCGAGUCUUUGAACGCACAUUGCGCCCCCUGGUAUUCCGGGGGGCAUGCCUGUCCGAGCGUCAUUGCUGCCCUCAAGCACGGCUUGUGUGUUGGGCCCCCGCCCCCCGGUUCCCGGGGGGCGGGCCCGAAAGGCAGCGGCGGCACCGCGUCCGGUCCUCGAGCGUAUGGGGCUUCGUCACCCGCUCCGUAGGCCCGGCCGGCGCCCGCCGGCGACCCCCCCUCAAUCUUUCCAGGUUGACCUCGGAUCAGGUAGGGAUACCCGCUGAACUUAAGCAUAUCAGCGGAGGA